CAGGAUUUCAAUGACCGCUCAAAACCCGGUGACUUCUAAACACAGAUAUUUCUCUGAAUGUCUUUGUUUGCUUUAUUUGGGGUUUUUUGGACCUGAAGGAUUUUUCUAUCCAACCAUCUCCCAUGGUUGGAUCCCAUCUUCAUUACUCUCCCCGUUCUCCCAGUGGUGUGUCUGGAGCUGCCAACAAGCAGACGAUUGCAGCGAUGGCAAUGCUUUGCUGACAACUCCUCACUGUUAGGUCAUUUAGGACAUAGCAUGACCCUACAGAGAGGCUUCCAAGACACAAGACUUCCCUCAGGUGAAUUGGUUCAUGAGGUGAAACUUCUUAGCAAUGCACAGGCUGCUUAAAAUUUGUGAUUUCUAUUUUCUAUGUCAUGCAGCAUGUGUUGCUCAAGUUUUGGGGUAUGUCAACUAUCUGGAGCCAUUUAGAUGACAGUGGGAGGGAUUUUGGAUACUGCCAUCUCUGUUCUACUGCCGGGAAUCCUGCUGCCCAGGUGGAGGAGCUGAGGUUUGAUAUUUCCUUAAGUACAAUAGCUAAACAAAUGGUAAGGUGAAGAGAGGCUGUUGUUUCACCAGCUGAUUUAUCAGGCAUUGUUUUUUUGGCAGCAGAGGGCUGCUUCUGGCUGCUCUGACCAUGACUCAUGGGGAUGGGUUGCAGUUGAUGCACAAGAGGAUUUUGGUACUGUACUUGUUGAGGUCAGGAAACUACUUGGACAAUUUUUAGCCAUUCAGAUCUGGAGAUGAGAGUGUGUUGACACAUGGGGGAUAAAGUAAAAAUUGAGGGAAGCCAUAAGGGCGUUUGCCAGACAUGACUUCUGUGAUUCUCCCAGGACAGGAGCUUGCAAAUGUACUUACCACCUAUCUAAUGCUGGCUUUUGCUCCUCAGUUGCUGCUCACAGCAUGGGAAUGUGCAUGGCCAGUAUUGACCUUCAUCCCAUUUUUUCAUGGAUGUAAUGAGGAAGUCUGUGAGUGUGCACUGUGGCUGCACUGAUAUCUUAUAGCUCAGCAGCAUCUGAGAGUUGCUGGGAUUUCUCAGAGAAGUUAGAAGCAUUGCAUGGAGGAUGCCCCCAGUUUGGGUAAUGGCCAUUCCAGCAGGAACAGUGUAUCUAUAUGAUGAGAUGACACAAUAUUGAUGUGAUAAGAGUUGGAAAAGGGCCAGGGUUGCAGACUGGACACCUUCUAUCCAAAAAUAUACCAGGAAAUGGCUGCUCUUCAGAUCACUUCAGGACAUGGACAGAGUUGUGGUACUUAUAGUUAUUCUGGAAGACGAUAAGAUUUUCAUUGUUUUCUAUGUAUCUUUAAACAGAAAGUUUAGAGGAGUAUGUCAGUCUCGCCUGUUUCUGGAAGACAAAGAGAUAAGAAGGAAUGCCUUGUGCUAAUUAUGGCUGUUUCCCAUCUGUUUCCUUUUGAAAUAAUAGCUUCAUGGAGAAGGCUAUGUAGUAUCAGGGGAGAUUCUCGAGAACAGCUUGGAGCAGACACAUUGUGGACGGGUGUAAAUAUGCCCCACAUGAUGACAGGAAGGUCAGGAGUGCACUGUGCCUCUGCUUUGAAAUGUGCUGAAAUAAAAAAAAAAAGAACAAGUAGUCUUGGAGGAUAUAAAAUAUCCCUGCAGGGGGAAAAUAUGGGGUUGGACCGAGUGACCUCCAGAAGUCCCUUCCAACCUCAACCAUUCAGUGAGUCUGUAGUUUUAUAAGUGUUAGACAGCACUCUGGUGGCGUAUUUUUCCAUCUCACUUGCAUAAAUUCAUGUACCGGAAUUAAUAAAAAAAGCCGUGAAAUAAAUGCACUUAGUCUUUAGAAAUAAAAAAGAAAAACAAAACUACGUGUAUAAAAGUAAGGCUGUUGUAAUCUGGCCAUGGAUCACUGCAGCCAGAUGGCAUAAUCUCAUCACAGAAGCCAUGAGUAGAAUAGUUCUCCUUUUCCAUUUUCAGUGGAGGUGAAUGCUGGGAAGAUCCUCAGAUUAUUUUGAUCCCAUAGAAUCAUAGAAUCGUAGAAUCCUUAAAAUUGGAAGGGACCUUUAAAGGUCAUCUACUCCAACUCCCUUGCAAUGAACAGGGACACGCACAGCCAGAUCAGGUUGCCCAGGGCCUUUAUAUAUAUAUAUAUCUAUAUAUAGUAUCAUUAGAUUUGGGGGGUAUUUAGAUAAAAAAUGUUAGUAUCAUUAAAUAGCAUUGUUUGCAUUCUCCAGAAGACUAGAACUGCAGAAAUUAUUCUGCCCAGCAGCAAGAUUUUUUCUGCUACAUUCUUUUUCUGAAUUGUCUUUACCAUACAUCUGCAAAACUACCUGUUUCUUUCUAACCCCCUGAAAAUUCUAUAGGAAACUGUCCUGUCGGACUUUUCUUGGAACAACUGUGGGUUUCUCUGGACCAGGCCAUUUCUUGGCCUCCUGAUUUUUCUUGUAUGCUCAAGUCACCCUCUUUGCAUGCGCUGGCUCCCUCAUUUGUGUUGGCCAAGGUGUGGAAGAUGCUGAGGAAAGUCAGAAAAUCCACAGCUGCUCCUGUUCCUGACCCAUCUUCAGGCCAAGUAUGAUGAUAAGAUUGCAUUUCCUCGGUUUCUGAAUGCUGUUUCCAUCAUCUCCUGGAACAGGCUGCCCAGGGAAGAGGUGGAGUCACCAUCUCUGGAGGUGUUCAAGGAAUGCAGAGAUGCGGCACUGAGGGACAUGGUUUUGAGGCUUCAAAGAUCAACUCUGCCCUCAGACGUUCCCAAGAAACCAAGGUGAACCCAGCCAAACCAAGAGCUGCCACCAAGACUGAGAAGAAGCCUUCAGUUCAGAAAUGGGAAAUACUCUCCUCAAAAGGCAAGUGGGGAAGCUCAGCCUGCCAGAUGGCAGAACCCCCUUAACCGCUCACCCCGAGCCAAAAUUUGCAACAGCAGUGUUUGCAAAUGAGAGGCCCCUGGUCUCAAAUGCGUGUGAACUCCAUGUGCAAUUGUGCCACUGAAUUUUGUGGGGGUCAGUGGCAGUCGAACUCAUGUAAUAAAGGCUAGAAACUGGCUCUGAAACUCAGUCCUCCCUCUGCUGUGCUCUCAGAUAUCUGGCCAGACACCACUGCUUUCUUGUGCUACAUCCAUGCAAAAAUAUUUUGGACAAGAUGGAAAUGACUAUUGUCAGAGGCAAGGGCUAAUCUGUGAAGGAAAGUGUCAAAAAAUCCCCAGCACAGAGCAUGGGGAAUACACAUAGUCCUUAUAGUUUUGAAAGAGAUGUACAGACUCUGCAGUCAACAGUUCAUGGGCUCCAUCACUUUGAAUGAUUGAUAGACUGGUUGGCUAAGGAAAGCCUGGAUCAGGGCUCAGAUCCACACCUCUCAGUGUAUUGCAAGACCCAUGCUCAGGGCAGAUCUCCCUGGAAUUCACCAUACCAAUGGAGAUUUUAUAUUCAUUUGACAGUUUUUGUCUUUCUCUGGUUGCACGAAGGGCACUCAUGUCAUGGAUCUGCAGAUGAUCAAGUGAAAAUGAAAGUUCAUGUUGCAACUCACACCAUUUGCUCUGCUGGUGGAGUCACCCAGCGGCAGCAGGUCUGGGAGCCUGGCAUCCUGCAUAGAAAUCAGUGAAGGUCACCAGGGUAGCGUCACCUUCAGGUCUUAGGACUUUUUGGUUAAAAACAGCUUAAAGCCACUGUUGACCUGUGCUGUGUUUGAGUCAGUGACCAAGAGAUGAAAGACUUUCUAUCCUAUUUCUAGUCCUUUGACUUGCUCUGCUGUAACAAUAAAUAUCCCCCAAAUAUCUUGGAACUCCCAGAAAUAUAGCCUUAAAAUAAACUUAUAUCACAGGCUAGUAAUUACUGAAUGUUUUGCAUUGUUUCUCCUCUGGGAGAUAUAUAUCCCUCAGGAAAUGAGUUUCUAAUUGGGCAGAAUAGGAGAAACAGGGCAGCAACAACAGUGUGGGAAAGCUGAAUUAAUAAAAGCUUCUAGAUACCCUCUGGCCACCCUGCACAGAGAAAUGACAAAUGACAUACCUGGAUGAGGGCAUUUUAACUUUGGGACUCCUUGGGAGGUGCCUGAACCAGGAAGAGAGGAAGAGAGGAUAGAAGCAAAAAUGCUAUUAGAGACCUGGUAAAAAUUUACAUGAAGUGGUGCACAGCGAUGCUUACAAAAAAAAACCAAACCAGAACAACAAAAAACCCUUGACCAUGUUACUGACAGUACCUGUGAAGAAACUCAGCUACUAAUUUUUUUGCUUAGAUUAAGAAAAUACAUAUACCCAUCCUCUUUCCUGAGGUGCUAACGAGCUUAUUUCAGGUCCAACAUUCCUUUUAUGUACAGAGUACUGGGAGUCUGGAUCCUGUUGACAGUGCCUACCCAUUCAUAGAAAGGUUGGGCUGAGCCAUUCUCAAGCACUCUAUGGCACAAAGAGACCAACACCAAUGAGGCUGCAGGGAGCCUUUUGGAUGUGAAUUCGUGUGAUGGUUCAUCAUUCCAACUGCAGUCCCUAUGUU
ensembl:lncRNA